rnacentral:rRNA from 1 species
CCCUUAGAUGUUCUGGGCCACACGCGUGCUACAAUGGCAAAAUCAACGAGUAUACCUUUGUCGACAGACAUGGGAAAUCUUUUCAGUUCUUGCCGUGAUGGGGCUAGACCCUUGUAAUUGUUGGUCUCCAACGAGGAAUUCCUAGUAAACGCAAGUCAUUAUCUUGCAUUGAUUACGUCCCUGCCCUUUGUACACACCGCCCGUCGCACCUACCGAUUGAAUGGUCCGGUGAAGUCUUCGGACUGGCAGCAUGUAUGUGCUUGCCGGGAAGUUGAGUAAACCUUACCAUUUAGAGGAAGGUGAAGUCGUAACA